GACCCACUUAACGAUUGACCCACAAAUGUGAAAAUGUUUUUUUGUAACAAGUUUAAAAUCUAAACAAUUAGAUAUUUAUUUUUCUUAAUCAUAAAAACAUAUUAUAUUUUUGUAGUUAAAAUUAACUUAAUUAUUAUAAAUAAUCAGUUUAAUAUAAAAUAAGAAGUAAGUACUGCAAUAUUGAUAAAAGAAAAUAUUAAUAGUAAUAUUUAAACCUUAAUAGUCGUAACAAAAAACGUUACUUGCGGUAUUUCAACACUUUUAUUUUCCAUGGCGUGUGGGUUUAUUCGAUGGUGACCACGGGAACAGGCUUGCACGUUUCCUUUUAAAAUGGAGCAAUGAUGUGUAUAAAAAAUAUAUAUACGAAUCAAUAUAUCUAUUUUUUACGAUGGUUACUUAUCUUCCAUAAAAAUGACAAAAGAUUAUGAGUAUUUAUAUUAAAGUUAUUGUGAUCGUGAUUGCUGGGUUUUGUUCAUAUUUGUUUAUUUAUCUUUUUUGGAAUUUGGUGGGUUUUCAUCUACUCUUGAUGACUUUGGGAUCUUUUAUUGAUCGAUGGAUAUUUUAAAUAUUUUGAUUUCAUAGAUAUAAUAAUAAAUCUAGUUUAUUCCUUAAAAUUUUCUAAUCUUCGAUUAAUGGAAGUUGAUUGUUGCAAAGUAGCCAAAAACAAUACUGGAAUUGUAAAAAUAAAUCUUGAAAAAACAAAAUAUGUCAUUAACAAAUAGUUCAGGGACUAGUUUCGGAAAAACUAAAUUCAGCCUUAUAAACCCCAUCUCAGUCUCACUAAUGUCUCCGCCGAUCUGAACCUUCCGGUGGGAGGCGAUCGGAGAAUUCGUGAAUAGCCUGCCGGCGUCAGUCCACGCCAUACCAUAUUCUUCCGAUCUUCGCCUCCAUUACUGCUGUAGCCAAUGAUUUUUGCGUAAUUUUUUUUUAUCUCGUUUCAUUGUAACUUUUACACGAUAGUUGGUACAAAUUUCUAAAUAUUACGCAAAAAUCGUUUGCUAUCAGAAGAUAUCGGAGCAAAGAUUAGAUGGGUUUUUUGGGUUUGGCUUGGGUUGACUCCGUCAGAUUUCAUCUGUAGAACACAAAGAUUAUCUGUAGAGGUCUAGCCGUUUUCCCCGAUCUAAACAGACCAAGGAUUUUCUUAUUGGGGAUAGAAUUCAUAGAAUCUUGUGUUCUUCUACUGAUUGUUGAAAAAUGAUAUCUCCAACUUCCUCAGAUAAGAUUACAUGAACACAUAGUUAUAUGAAUCGGAAAUCGUUUAUUUUCUGGAACAUAAUGAUUGCCUUGUAUUAUAUGUUACAUGGAAAUCAUGAGUAUAGUAUAAGUGUAUAACUAUAUCCAGGCUUAAACAUCACCUAAAUGCUUACUUUUUUUUUUUUUGUGUGUGUGUUCGAUACAUGCUAAACAAAAUAUUAUACAAAAAGUUGAUCUAUGAAUAAAGGUUCAAUGCGAUCUUGAUAGUAUAGCACAUGUGACAUGUUGAGGAGAAGAACUUGAUUCAUAAAUCCAAACUAUUCUGUUCAUUUUUGCUUUAUCUUCCCUGAUUACAACUUCUAUGAGAGUAAUCAUUCCACCUCCUUGAAUCAUAUCACCUCAUUCACAUUCUCCAAUUUUUAUUAUUGAUUUUAGUGUCCCCCGAGCAUUUGGUCUCUUACGAUUUUAAAUAUUACAUAUACAAAUUGUUAGAUAUGAGUGUAGAGUUCACUUUCCUUAAUUGAUAAUUCGACCCUAUGCAAGUGUUUCCCAAACUUCAAUGCUACAAGAUGGAACUUUGAGUUCUCAAGCACAAAGACUUCAAUAAUAAAAUCAAUAAUAAAAAUUGAGUUUACUCAUUUGUGUUCACUAUUAAAAAUUAAAAAUUUGCCUCUAUAGUAGAAUAUUUUUUUAGUUACUAUUUAACCACUUAUAAAAAGUAGGUCCUCUCCUAGGAAGAUUCCUGGAAACUCACAAUUGAUACAAACAAACAAAAACAACAAAAAGUAAGCAUCAGUGAAUGAUAAAAUAUUUCUACACGGAUUGUGACUUGUCCUCUUUGAUUUAGUAUAAGUCACGAACACACAAACACACACACACACACACACACACACUCAUACACACAGUUAAGGCAAAAUGGGAGGCAGGGUGACUGUGUUUGAAAACAGGGCAGCAGUAGAUAUGGAAAUUCGAGUGUUUGUUCCACCUGCCCGGCCUGACCGAUACCGGAUGAUCAUUAGGGUCAAACCAGGUGAGGUCAGAAAAGUGUUGACCAAAAGGUUAUGCAACUGUAAUGAGUAUUUCCCUUUCCCUAGUGAAAAAACUGAUAACUAUAUCUUUCUCAUGGUUUUCAUGGAUGGGACUUACACUGGUGUCACUUUGCUUCCAUGGGAAGUAAAGAAAUACGCAAAAAUCAUUGGCUAUUAUAUGGAUGACUGCCACGUCAUCCUAAAAGGUGUUAGAUGCACCUUCACUACCUUCUUCAGACUCAAGUAAAGACUACUUCUGGUGUUUUCAGAUGAAAAUUAAGACGAAUUUGAAGCUUUAAACUAGCUAUUAUUUCUAUAAUGUGUAUGUUUCUUUUGUUGUCUCAUAUAUAAGUUGAUGUGUUUAUGUUGUCAACGUUUUGUGUUUAAAUGGCUAUGGAAUGCAUAUUUCAAGCUUUAUGCUUGAUACUUCUUGAUUCA